CGGACGGGUGGAGUAACGACGUGGAGAACCUGCCGUAUACUGGGGGAUAACACUUAGAAAUAGGUGCUAAAACCGCAUAAGCGCACAGCUUCGCAUGAAGCGGUGUGAAAAACUCCGGUGGUGUAAGAUGGACCCGCGUCUGAUUAGCUUGUUGGCGGGGUAACGGCCCACCAAGGCGACGAUCAGUAGCCGGCCUGAGAGGGCGGACGGCCACAUUGGGACUGAGACACGGCCCAGACUCCUACGGAAGGCAGCAG
rnacentral:rRNA from 1 species